rnacentral:lncRNA from 1 species
AGACCCUGCGAGGUCACAAAGCCCCCCAUGAAGUCAUAAGGCCAAGCCAUGGUGUGCAGUGCAGGGCGUGUGCUGCAGGCACCGCUCCAGCAGCAGCAGUGACAGCGGUGACAGCAUGGUGCAGGCGCGGUGGGCCCUGGCCCUCAUCCUCCUCCUGGUGGCCCUGCCAGUCGGAGGUCCAGAGUAUCAAGAUGGAAGGGGACAAUCUUCCCAGGACACAUCCAAAGUGCUACAUGAAAUCCUUGGACAGCUGAAGACAAUAGCACGAGGCGCCUCGCAGCUUCGAGAGCCGGCUCUGAGCGCCCCAACAGCCGGGCAGAAGCCAGCAGAAUAUUUGCAGGAGCGUUUAAAUAAAGAUCAGCAGCACAAUCGACUGGAUUGUACUGGCAGCAAAUUCCUAUGGGUGCCACUGCGAGGCCUGGGGGUCCCCUGGGUACUGAUGGAAUCUAACUUACCACUGAUUCUAACUGUUUCUGAUUUGAUUUUCACUAUACGUAUUAUCCAUUCCAUAAGCAAUAGUGACCCUGGCCAGCACACUUUGUUGUGUUUUUGGAAAUUCAUAUUAAUUCCAC